rnacentral:rRNA from 1 species
AUUGAACGCUGGCGGCAGGCCUAACACAUGCAAGUCGAGCGAGUGGCGGACGGGUGAGUAAUGUCUGGGGAACUGCCUGAUGGAGGGGGAUAACUACUGGAAACGGUGGCUAAUACAGCAUACCAUCAGAUGUGCCCAGAUGGGAUUAGCUAGUUGGUGGGGUAAAGGCGCACCAAGGCGACGAUCCCUAGCUGGUCUGAGAGGCUGAUCAGCCACACUGGGACUUAGACACGGCCCAGACUCCUACGGGAGGCAGCAGUGGGGAAUAUGGCACAAGGGGCGCAAGCCUGAUGCAGCCAUGCCGCGUGUAUGAAGAAGGCCUUCGGGUUGUAAAGUACUUUCAGCGGGGAGGCGUUACCCGCAGAAGAAGCACCGGCUAACUCCGUGCCAGCAGCCGCGGUAAUAC